CCCCAUCUUUUACCGCCAUCAUGAUGAACGGUCCACUUUUCUAAUGGAAUUUUCAUUAAAAAAUUGUGCGCACCUGGCUCAACAUCUUUCAAACAUUGCAUAACAAUUUUGAAUUCGCAUUCUUGGUGUUGAAUAGUAGUCUUCCAUAUUUAUCCCUCAUGCUGCCUGUUAGGGAAGUUAGACAGAAAGUUACUCUUUUCAUGCUUAAGACAAAAAUGAUGAUAUGCAUUCGGCUCAUGUAAAUCAACCAAAUCAUUAAAACUUCUAAGUAUUCCAGGAGCAUAAUUAGAUAUAUACGUAACACCUCUACGAUCAACUACCACAUAAAUUUCAAGGCACGACAAAAAUUAUGACCAUGCUUCUUUGGUUUCCUUGUUAACAAUUGCAAAAGCAAGUGGAAAUAUUUGCCCAUUUGCAUCAGCAGUACAACAAUCAACAUAUUUAAAUCAUAGUUUUCAUAAAUGUGAGUACCGUCAAUAGAGAUGACUGGUCUAUAUCUUUUAAAACCUUUUAUACAAGGUUUAAAUUCCCAGAACACAUAUUUAAAAAUAUUUACCUCUGAUGUUUAUUCAUCAACAUCCAUUCAUUCCACAACCAUUCAUGGAUUAAAAUAUUAAAGUGCACUCAAGUACAUUAAAAGUUGUGCGAAAGAGUGAUUAAAGUCACCAUAUAUGAAUUUGAAGCACAUCUUCAACCAAGCCAUGCCUUUUUGUAGGAAGGUGUAUAUUUUAAUUCAACCUCAAAAGUAGCCUGGACAUCUUUAACCUUGAAUUGAGGGUUAUUCCCGAGGAAAUGUAGCAACAAUGAAGCAAUCAAUUUAGAAUCCAAGUUUAAAUGACCAGCUUGGAUUACACCCAUUUGACAAGUAUGUCUGCCAUAAUAGUUUUUGAUAGUUCAUAAAUUUAUUGGUAUUUUUCAACCUCUGAGCAUCCAAUUCAGAUUCUCAUCUCCUACACUUAACAGUCCAAUAAUUUAUUUUUGAUUCCCACACACUGAACUCUCUAUUACCCUGCAAAUUUCAUAUUUUUACAGUAGUCUUUAAUCUUUUCUUACUAGGAAACAACUACCUAGACUUAAGAUCCGACACUUUACCAUCUAACCAAAUUUUACAUCCAACACCCUCUGAUUCAUGGGUAGAAGCAUGCACCUCUGGACGAUCUUGAAGAUAAUACAGAAAUAUAAUAUUCUCCCUAUAAAAUGGUAUGUUUUGUGGUACCUUAAUGACUGGUUGUUGAUCAUAGUCAUUAUCAUCACCAGAGUUACUCAUUUUAUCUGACUGAUAUGCAUUAUUCGGAGCAUCACUGUCAGAAUUGUCAUCCACAUGAGUAUCAGCAUAGGCAUCAACUUCUAUCCUAGCUUGUAUUUCAGAAACUCUUAAAAUCUCUGAAACUUGAGGUAAACUACUAGUUCCUGCACUAUCUUUAAAAUCAUAUGACGAUAAUUAUCGACAUCAGAAUUUGCACCAAAAUCAGUACAUCCAUGGCCAUAAUUAUCGGAUAGAAUAUCAACUUGUGGUAUUAUACUUUGUGACAAGAAGCUUGUAAAACUUUGAAAUUCUGAAAAAUUACUAGUCAUAUUUGUAGAUGGUUCAUAAAAAUCAGAAGGGAGGUUAUUAAGAUUCAAAGAGGGUGUAGCAAAAUUCAAAGAGAGACAAUUUAAAUUAUGUGUAGGUUCAACAACAUCUACUGCUUUUGUUUUAAUAUACAUCUCCAACAAAUCAAGAUUUAUCAUAUAACACACCAUAUCAGAUGCCACCAUAAGCUCUUGCAAAGACUCAUUACCAAAUAUGGAAAUUUCAAAAUAAUGAGCAUUACCCUGUACAGUUGAAAAUGACCAUCUACCCAAAAUAACAAGCUUUAUCUCACUUGGAUUAGUUUUCAUUCUAAUAUGCAAGUUUCUAACUAGCCAAUCAUACUCAAUAUUUAGUGGAAGUUUAACAACUGCACAAGCACUGCAACUAUAUCUAAAUGUAUCAGAUUCAUACAUGACAUCGUCGUCCCCAUACAAUGCAACUCUAACAUGAUGCUCAUUCGACAUUUCUAAACCUGUAAAAAUAGCUUUAGUUAUUAAUAAAUUAUUUACUCAAUAGGGAAAGCAAUAUACUAAAAAAAAUACAAACCUUUUUCACUCCAAUUCAGAUUGAAGGAUACAUCAACUGUAAAGUACAAUACUUUUUGUGAAUUUAGUAAUAUACAUGGCAAUGAAGAGGAUGUACAUAUAUAUAGAGGAACAAAAAAUAAUUUUGAAGGUAUACGAUAACCAUUUGUGUAGAAGACUCUCUGCAUAAGAGCGUUUUUUAAUUUGCUUGAAGGUGUAUUACUGUCCAUGAGUCUUUAGGGUAUGAAAAAGUUAUCCUCUAUUGUCCCAUCAAUUCAGAAAAUGGUAGCCUUUUUCAAAAUUUUGAACAGUAAAAUUCACAGAAGGCUUAUGACUAUUAAUGAGUCUUUCUUUCAAAUGUUAAAAAUCACUGAAGACUCAUGAGAGUAGAUCACCUUCAGUGUAAAUAUACUUAACGGUCCAUAUUUUUUAUUUAACAUGAAAAUUGCAUACUGAAGGUGCUCCAAAUACCAUGCGUUUUUACGAUUUUGAUCAUGAAAAAUCUGACAGACCCAUUUAUUAGAAUUGUCCCUUAUUUGACACUAUUUUGAUCGAAGUCUCGAUUCUCAUUAGUCCCUUUCCUCUUCCCUAAUCCUCCAAUACAUUUUAAUGAAGAAAAUGGUAUAAGCAGCUAAACUGGCAGAACACUACAAAACCUUGUCAAAGCUUCCCUUACUAGCCUGUUAUCAGGAGAGCAACAGGCAAGGACAAUAAUAAAGAGAAAAUGUUAUGGAUGAACCCGAAAACAAUUACUAUGAAUUUGAUAUAUAACACUCUCUGAUUAAAAAAUCCCUUAUUAACAGAAUACCAGACACAUGGUGGACUGCUAAGACACCACUAAAUAAGGUCUAAAAUUUCAACACGACUAAUGUAUUUCUGUGUAUACAUAUUGUAGGGAUUAUAUUUUCAUGUGAAGAUGAAUACGUAUAGAUAUGGAAAGAAUCAAUAGAGUACCAAACACCAAUCCUACCAACUUUUAUCUCAAUAUGAAGUACACUGUCAAGGUGGAUCCCAACUUUCUGAAUAUGUGUAGUAUUAGUAUACUACUAGCUAAUGUGAAAAUCAAUCUAAAGAACUAUUUAUGUAGACUUGUACUUAUAUAUGUUGGGUUCGAAAUCGAGAGGCGUCAUGAGGAAACUUAGAGUUUGCAAACUAAUAUGAUGAUAAUUCAGAUGACACAAAACUAAACUAAAAAAGCAUAAUAUUAUUGAUAUAGUUUGGCCAAUCGGCCUACAUAUUAAAAACUAAGUUUAAAAAAAACCGUAAAAUCUAUUAGGAGAAAUCUCUCCCUAAACAAGACUCUUAAAAGACUACAUUGUGGAUUCUAUUAUGUUAUGGUAUGAGAAAGGAAGUCAUCUAUUUAUAGAUGUCCAAAAUCUUUCCUCCAAGAAAGAGGUUAGCCAAAUGUGAAAAAGUUUUAUAUUUUCUUUCAGAAAAUUAAAAUUAAUUAUGGUAACUUUUAUUUUCCUUCCAAGAAAAAGUAAAACUUAAUUUUGGUAAGAAAAUCAGGGCAAAAAUCCUAACACAUCUCCCCCUUUUGGCUUGAUUUUCUGUAAAAUAUUCAUGAUCCUCCUUCUUCUUGUGCAUGGUUUCGUUCUUCACAUAUUCUUCAUAUAUCACUGCUGUUUGACAUGCUUUAAAAAUUGAGCCUUUUGAGGUUAAAAUAUAUCUGCCCUUUUCGGGUUAAAAAUAUAUGAGCCUUUUGUAGGAUUAAAAGUGAGCUUUAUUUUUAAAUAUAUAACAACAGAAUUGUUGAAAAUAUGACUGAAAUAUCAUCUCCAUAUGUAGUUCGACAAAAAUGUCAUUAUCAUCAAACUGGUUGCAGCUGAUUUGAAACCGCUUUGAACCUGUUCAAUCUCGUCUCUCCACACCAUUGGACCUUUGAACCAUAGACUCUGAUAGCACUUGUUGGGUUUGAAAUCGAGAGGGCGUCAUGUGGAAGCUUAGAGUUUGCAAACUAAUAUGAUGAUAAUUUAGAUAACACAAAACUAAACUAAAAAAACAUAAUAUUAUUGAUAUAAUUUGUCCAAUCGGCCUACAUAUUAAAAACUAAAUUAAAAUAAACUUAAAAUCUAUUAGAAGAAAUUUCCCCUAAACAAGACUAUUAAAAAACUAUAUUGUGGAUGCUAUUGAGUUAUGGUAUGAGAAAGGAGAACUUCUAUUUAUAGAUGUCCAAAAUCUUUCUUCCAAGAAAGAAGUUAGCAAAAUAUGAAAAAGUUUUAUAUUUUCCUUUCAGAAAAUUAAAAGUAAUUAUGAUAACUUUUAUUUUCCUUUCAAAAAAAAUAAAACUUAAUUUAUAUAAGAAAAUCAGGACAAAAACUCUAAUAAUAUAUAUGUAUAAUAGAAGAGGUAAGUUUAAUUACUUAGACAACUCGACUCCUAUGAACUAUCUGAGGAGGAUUCAUCUAGGCGCUCCAGCUGGAGCAGGCUAGUUGCUGAAGGAAGUGAUGUGUGAUCUACACAAGACAGAUCCCUUUGUUUGGGUUCCAGAAGAUUAUGUAUAAAGUUGCAUCAGUAUAAAAUGGAGUGAAUUUGGUAAAAUACUCUCGCCAUCCAUCUUUACAUAAAUUAUGAUAUUAAAAAUAUAUGUUGAAUAAUAUUUAUUCAGUUUGAAAAAUUAAUAGAUAAUUUAUCUAUUUGUGUUCGUUUUAUCAUUUGUAUUAAAAAUUAUUCAUUAUCCGAUGUAUUUUUCAAAUUUAUAAUAUUUAAAGAGUGAUAUAGUAAAUUUACCCCUAUUUUUUAUUAUUUCUUAAAAUAUGUGUUUAAUCAUUAGUGAACAAGUAUUAUUGGACGAAGAAAGUGACAUAUAUUAAAUUAAAUACUAUAAUUUAAUUUGAGUUUCUUGCUUCAACUGUUGUAUAAGUCUAUUCCAGUACAUAAUGUUUUUAUGAUAAAUAGUUCGUAAUUUAUCUGCCUCUAAAGCANNNNNNNNNNNNNNNNNNNNNNNNNNNNNNNNNNNNNNNNNNNNNNNNNNNNNNNNNNNNNNNNNNNNNNNNNNNNNNNNNNNNNNNNNNNNNNNNNNNNNNNNNNNNNNNNNNNNNNNNNNNNNNNNNNNNNNNNNNNNNNNNNNNNNNNNNNNNNNNNNNNNNNNNNNNNNNNNNNNNNNNNNNNNNNNNNNNNNNNNNNNNNNNNNNNNNNNNNNNNNNNNNNNNNNNNNNNNNNNNNNNNNNNCACUGAUAUAAUUUCGAGAGUCAACCAAAUUUUAUAUCUUUUAAAUUUUUUAAGUUGUUAAUUAUUAUGAUUAAUAUAUUUUUUACAUAUUUUUUUAGAAAUAUAUAAUGGAUUAUUUUUUUAUAGAUAUUUCAAGUCGUUAACUAUUGUAAUUUAUAAUACUUUUUAUAUAAUUUUCAAAUAAUAUAUUUUACUCUAGUUAAUUUUAUUUUUUAAAUAAUUCAAUUUUGUAAUUAUUGUGAUUUAUUAUAUUUUUUCUCUAUUCUAAUUUAAGUGGCACAAUGCUUAGAUGUCCAUAAUAAUUAAUUAGAGGUGAUAUAAUAAAUUCACAAUUGAAGCAGCGAAGCACACAUAUUUUAUAUGAUUUAUAGUAACUAAUUAGAAGUGAUAUAGCAAAAUUACUAUAAAAAUAUUUGUGAAAAAUUAAGUGCGUCUCAUAUAAAACGUCAAGUUAAUUUAACAUUAAAUAUUAUUAAUUUUUUAAUACUUAUAUGACUUAUAAUAAUUAAGUAGGAGUGAUAUAAUAAAAUUAAGGUUGAAGCAACUAAAGCAGACAUGUCAUAAAUGUCUAUUUUACGUUUUAUUAAAUAUUAUUAAUUUUUUAAUAUAUAAAUAAUUUAUAAUAAUUAAUUAGGGGUGAUAGAGUAAAAUCACGGAGCAAGCAGCUGAAGUAGCUGAAGAAGCAUACAUGUCGAUGGAGACAUGCCUGUUUCCCUAGUACAAUCGUGACUUCUUAUAUAAGACGUCAAGUUAAUUUAACAUUAAAUAUUAUUAACUUUUUAAUACUUAGAUGACUUAUAAUAAUUAACUAGGAGUGAUAUAGUAAAAUUAAGAUUGAAACAACUGAAAUAGAAAUGUCAUAAAUUUCUAUUUUACCUUUUUAUUAAAUAUUACUAAUUUUUUAAUAUAUAAAUAACUUAUAAUAAUUAAUUAGGAGUGAUAUAGUAAAAUUACGGAGAAUGCAACUAACGUACCUGAAGAAGCAGACAUGUCGAUGGAGAUAUGCCUAUUUCACCUAGUGCAACCAUGACUUCUUAUAUAGGAUAUCAAGGGCCCCGUGCUAACACGACCUCAAUAUAUGUUAUUUUUUGUCACAGUUUAUGUGAUGCAAAUAAAAUUUAGAUAAUUUAUUAUAUUUUUCCUAUGUUUUUAGCUUUUUUGAGUUGUUAGUUAUUGUAAUUUAUAAUAUUUUUUGAUAUUGUAAUUUAUUAUUUUAAGCUGUUAGUUAUUGUAAUUUAUAAUACUCUCCUCGUUUAAACUUUUGUGGAAUUAAUAGUCAAAUUAAUAGUCAAUUAUAUUUUUAAAAUAAUUUAAAUUUUUAAGUAUUGUAAUUUAUAAUAUUUUUUUUUCUGUUUCAAUUUAUGUGACACUAAUAUAAUUUCUAGAGUUAACCAAAUAUCAUGAUUGAAGUAGCGAAGUAGACAUACCUUAAAUGACUCAUAAUAACUAAUUAAAAAUGAUAUAAUGAAAUUGCUAUAAAAAGUACUUGUGAAACAAAAUUUAAACAGACCUCAUAUAAGAUGUAAAAUUAAUUUAAAACAUCAAGUGUUAAUUUAUCAUUUUAUAUCUAUUUUAUCUUCUUACUAAAUAUUAUUAAUUUUGUAAUACUUAAAUGGCUUAUAAUUGUAGACAUGUGAUUUUUGACCCUCCCCGAGUUUUAACCUUUUUUUGGCAUUAAAAUUUUAUAUUUUUGUCCAAUAUCUAUUUUAGCUCUUAUUUCAUUUUUUAUAAGUUUAAGUUGAAAGUAAGUAAAUAAUUAAAGUUACAUUUUGGGAUAUUUUUAUUUUUAAAAUAAUACGAAAAAUUUAAAAAUAUAUUUCCCUUUUAAUUUUAAUAAAUAGGCUACUACUAGUUUUAGUAUUAUCUUAAUUAUAUUUGAUUUAGAUUAUUUAUAGACUUUUAUUGUAUUUUCUUAAAUAUAAAAUUUAAUUAUUAAAUAUUCUCUUAUUAUUAUUAUUAUGAUAUUAUUAUUAUUAUUAAUCAUUUUAUAUAUUUUAAAUUAAAAAAAGAAACCUUAUCCAUCCCAACUUCCACACCCCAUCUACAUAUCCCAAUUCCGCUCAACUGCUCACCCCACAUCCUCUUUUUAAGACGUAACUUUCCCAACCUCCCCAGAAUAUACGUUUAUCAGAUAACCAAAGACAGAUAAAAACAGAGAGACUGACUAAAAAAAAAAAGAGAAGAAGAUAACACUAAAAAUCAGACAUAGAGAAAAAGAGGAAAAAAAGUAUCAAGUCGAAUUUGGAUUUCCGUUCUAGUUUCCAGUGAUAACGUCUUGCUUUUAUAUUCAAUUAAGUUGGCAUACAGGUUCUAUUUUGAUUCUAUUCUAUUUAUGUUAUAAAUUUCCUGUGAAAAAGUAUGAGCGAAAAUGUUUGAAUAGUUUCAAUGCACUGUUUAGUGUAUAUGUUUGAUUACGUGAACUUUUUGUUACAACAUGUCAUACUAUUAAUCUAUCGAGUGCUUAUAUAUAUUUCUUUAGUAAAUGAGUUGUGAAUUGAAAUACGGUGCAUAAAUAUUGUCAAGUUGAAACUUUUUUGGGACAAAAAAACAAACAGAGAUAAAAAUAGACACACCAUUCACUCAUAUCUUGUACACUCACACACCUCACCGGAAGCAAUUUACAUACACAUAGGAAAACACUCACUACAUGAUGCACUCAUUGGAAAAUUGACACAUCACACACUCCAUUUUUCAUGUAUUCACAGCAUGUACACAUACACAAAUUCCAUUCUUGUAAAGAAAAGGUCAGACCCAUCGAUAGUCCCUUAAACUUGUUACGAAAAUUCACUUAGACCCCUCAACUAAGGCAUGUACCUAUCAGACCCCUAAACCCCUCGAAUUUGAUCCAAUCAGACCUUUUUUGCGUACGUGGCUCUCCACGUGUUGUCCACUAACUAGGGGAGCGUAAGACACGUUUUUUUUGAAUAAUUAACUAAUGAAAAUGUGCCAAGUGGCACUGAGGGCCCAAAUAUUUAUUAAUAAUAGAAUGAAUAAUAUUUUUUUUAAUUAAAAACUUCUAUUUAAAUUAUUUUAUUAAUUUUAAUCAUUAUAACUUGUUAAUUUUUUUUUUUUAAAAGAAAGCCCCUCCUCCCUUGGUUGUCUUCUUCACACCCACCCUGCCCCCGUCGUCUUCUUUACCCCCUCCCCCUUCAUUGUCUUCUUCAAAACCCCUCCAUGGCAGCUAAAAGUGCACAGUUGUUUUGUGAUAUGAUAUAAUGAAACUUCAAUUUUUAGGUGUGAUGCAAUAAUUUGGCAUGUCAAGAUUGACCACAAUCAUAUUUACUCAAUAUUGAAAUAAGAAUCCUUCAUUCAAUUAAUGUUGAGUCCUACACGUUUCUUGGUUCCAUAAAGUAUUUUUUUUUAAACUACUAUUAUAGCAUAUAAUACUAUUUCUGUCAUAACAUUCAAUCUUUACCAAUUAUCAUCUCAAUAAUGAAGAGACUUUGUAUUAGAUAAUAGAGAGAGGUAUCCCAAGAUGUGGAAGAUUCAGCAAAAGGAAAAUGUUAAUAUACUCGUUUGACUGAAGAGAAACUAAUAUGACUAAUUACUUACUCAUCAGUCUGAAUCGGAAUCAGGAUUGAUUGAUGAUCUCACUGAUCUAUUUCUAUUAGCAUAUGAAUCAUCAUCCUCUUCUUCUUUUUUGUUCUCUUUGAUUAUUCCUUAAAGUCAUUCUCGUCUUCUUAUCUUCUUCCACUCCAUAAAGUCAUCGUCGUCUUCUUAUCUUCUUCCUCUCCGUUUUCUUGAUCCCACUACAAAUCAGUCAAAAUGCAAAUCAAUUUUCCUUCUUUAAUUCAUCAAUUUCCAAUUUCCCUUCUCUAAAUCGAACCAAUUUUUUUUUUUUUUAAAAGCUCAUCUUCUUGCUAGAGAAGAUAAUGGAAGAGAGAGGGGGAAAUUCAUCUUCUUGCUAAAGAAAAGAAUGGAAGUGGGGGGAGGGG
rnacentral:lncRNA from 1 species